GCUCCGUUAGAUUAUUGGUAGAUCGUUAGACUUUCAAUCUAAAGGGACGGGUUCGACUCCCGUACGGAGUACCA
rnacentral:tRNA from 1 species